rnacentral:rRNA from 1 species
GGUAUGGGAUGAGCUUGCGUCCGAUUAGCUAGUUGGCGGGGCAACGGCCCACCAAGGCGACGAUCGGUAGCCGGCCUGAGAGGGUGAUCGGCCACAUUGGGACUGAGAUACGGCCCAGACUCCUACGGGAGGCAGCAGUAGGGAAUAUUGCACAAUGGGGGGAACCCUGAUGCAGCAACGCCACUUGUGGGAAGAAGCAUUUCGGUGUGUAAACCACUGUCAUGAGGGAAUAAGGCCUAUUUUCGGAUAGGAUUGAAUGUACCUUGAGAGGAAGCACCGGCAAACUUCGUGCCAGCAGCCGCGGUAAUACGAGGGGUGCAAGCGUUGUUCGGAAUUACUGGGCGUAAAGGGAGCGUAGGCGGAGAUUCAAGCGGAUUGUACAAUCCCGGGGCCCAACCCCGGCUCUGCAGUCCGAACUGGAUCUCUUGGAUAGUUCAGGGGCAGGC